CACGCGGCACGCGCGCCUGGCGUCUUCUCAAGCCCUGGGAUCCUAAAAAAGUUUGUUUUUAAAGCUGAGAGAGGAUUUCAAGAAGUAAGCUGGAGAAAAGAAAUUUUAAAAGACUGCUGCCACUUUCUCGCUCUCCUCUUGCUCUGGAAAAAGCAUAUCCACUGAAGAUGCCCACACGUCAAUAAACUGAGCCUAUCGCCAACAGCACCCGAGAAACCUGCAACAAUGUCAGAGCUCCACCUGUGCAGGUUGUCACUGGACUUCUGCAGUUGGAUGAAGCACCAUGCCCCGGACAGGGGGUCUGCCUCCUGAGAGCCCUCGACUGGCCAGAGGACACAAUCCAGAAGUUCAGGGGUGUUUUGUUCUCCAUUGAUGUAAACCUUCACCAACUUCCACCAAUGCCAAAUGGAUCCAGGAGAAAGAUAGGCAGAUACGCUCACUCUUCUUCCUCCUGAGGACUA